rnacentral:rRNA from 1 species
UACGGGGGGGGCAAGCGUUGUUCGGAAUUACUGGGCGUAAAGGGCUCGUAGGCGGCCAACUAAGUCGGAUGUGAAAUCCCCGGGCUCAACCCGGGAACUGCGUCCGAUACUGGCAGGCUUGAAUCCGGGAGAGGGAUGUGGAAUUCCAGGUGUAGCGGUGAAAUGCGUAGAUAUCGGGAGGAACACCAGUGGCGAAGGCGACUACCUGGCCUGUUCUUGACGCUGAGGCGCGAAAGCUAGGGGAGCAAACGGG